UUAAAAGCUGAAUGUUGUCGACUGAGAAAAGAGAGGGAUGAAGCCAAAGCAGUGGCAAGUUCAUCUAAAGAAAGAAUUAUAGAACUUGAAUUAGAGUGCAAAAGUCUUCGAGCAGCAAGAGAGACAGUUUCUGAUGAAAACCCACCAGAGCUCGAAGAAGUGAAAGAGCUUCGACGAUUGAAUCGAAGCUUACAGCUUCAAGUUCUGGACAAAAUAGUUCAAGGAAAUUUGCCACAGAAACAGAAUUGCCAGAGGAUGUUGACUUGGGCAAUAAGGUAGUCCUGAAAAGAGAAAUUUAUAAUGCAGUUAGAGGUGAAAGUAAUAUAAGUAGAUUUACGAAGAGCCUUGGUGUGGCCAUCUGGGGGACGGCUACACUAAAAGAACGGUUCAUCAAAGGACAAGAAUGUCGUAACCCAAGGGGCUGCAAAAGAAAAGUGGAUGGAGAGGCAAGCAUGCCUAUUCAAAAAGCUGCCAAACCACCACUUACACCAGAAAAAUUGGCAGUAAUUGAUGCUCAAAUGAGAGUAUAUAUGGAGGCAAAAUCAAUGAGCCUGAAUGAAAUUCAGGAGAAUCUGAAGAAGAGGAACAGAUUUCUUACUGAAAAAAUUUGUGACUUAAAUAAACCUAAACGUGUUUAAAACCUUUUAUAAAUCUUGUCAAUAAAUUAUUUUG